CCCAGACUCCUACGGGAGGCAGCAGUGAGGAAUAUUGGUCAAUGGGCGCGAGCCUGAACCAGCCAAGUCGCGUGAGGGAAGACGGUCCUAUGGAUUGUAAACCUCUUUUGUCGGGGAGCAAAAGACGCCACGCGUGGCGUUCCGAGAGUACCCGAAGAAAAAGCAUCGGCUAACUCCGUGCCAGCAGCCGCGGUAAUACGGAGGAUGCGAGCGUUAUCCGGAUUUAUUGGGUUUAAAGGGUACGCAGGCGGAAGAUCAAGUCAGGGUUAAAAUUGGGGGGCCCAACCUCUUCGAGCCGUUGAAACUGGCUUUCUUGAGUGAGCGAGAAGUAUGCGGAAUGCGUGGUGUAGCGGUGAAAUGCAUAGAUAUCACGCAGAACUCCGAUUGCGAAGGCAGCAUACCGGCGCUCAACUGACGCUCAUGCACGAAAGUGUGGGUAUCGAACAGGAUUAGAUACCCCAGUA
rnacentral:rRNA from 1 species